GGAGUGAGGCCUGGUAAGGCCCUGCUGAACUUGGGAGACAGAGGCUGCUGGCAAUCGUUCCAGAGUGACUUUCUGUUGUCCCAAGGAGAGUAGUUCAUCCUGGCCCACAGGACCUCACCAGCUGGAAGCAUCACUGAGCACAUGCAUGGAACAUGCUGUGGUAUUGAUUUUAAAAUCUUGUCUCAGGGCCAGGAAUUUCACAACUGAAAUCCUGAAAGACAACCUUCAAGAAAAAAAACAUUUAAAUAGGAAAGAGAUGAGAGGAAAUGGACUGCAAAUGUCUGAGCUGUGAAGAAAGCUGAGCUCAUGCACUGCUGGAAACGAGAGAAAAGGAGGCUUUAUAUUUGCACAACUCAAGAGUAAAACUUCAGCACCACUUUGCAACUGCUUAGACAUGAAAAUCAAUCAGCUACAGUACCUCUACCCUUAGGAAGCAGGGUUCAUUAUACCCAGCUCUUAGAGAACAUUAAUUCUCUCUAUGUGGGAUUUACUGGCUCCACCUCUACUAAUGGAUAAAACUGGUCAAGUCUUUUUCUCUGUUCAAAAUGGACAACCUGCACAGAUCUCAUUCAUACAAUUAAAAUUUCUUCUCUCACAACUUGUGCCUGAGCUCAUAUCAUGUAAUGGGACUACCUCGUGCUCAGGAACUUUUGAGGGUGUUGGAUUUUUUGCAUCAAAGCCGCAUCAGGAACCAUGUCAAUGACUUAACAGAAUAUGGUAGCAGCUGGGCUGUGUCCUCGGCCUGUAUACUGGUAUUUAAAUUAUACCACUGUGUCAUCCCAGCUUUAGUUAUCUAAACAUAAUUCUCACCUAUAUAAGUUCUAUCCCUUCUAUAGUAGAAUAAAAUUGACAUAAACAUGUUACCUCUGUAUCUGCAGUGUUACAGGAGGGCUAAGUGAACCUAAUCCUGGUGACUUACACUUUUAAGAUUCUUUAAAUCAAAGUUAGUAGCAUCUUCCAUCCUUACUGUUCUCUGAGCACAGACAAAGCAUUUCUGUUGUACCCUCUUCAGCUUUCUGUAAAAUUUUCAAUGUUGAAAUCCUUUCUUCCAAUACUUUUCCCCCCCAUGAAUUAUAGAAUUGCUCUGAUUUCCCUCUUUCAAAUGAAAACCGCACGACUUUAUCUGAGUAAAUUUAACUUCACCUUUUCCCUUUUUCCUCUUGUAGUUUUAAAAGCCCCUUGUGACACUUCUUCCUUCAAACCUACCAGGAGCCUGCAAUCACUACCCUGGAAAAUCAGCAAUUUUCCCUGAUUUGGUAGGGAAUUAACACUUUAAUUUCUUUAAGCUUUAUUUGGAAAAGUUAGUUAGUUUUUUUGUUUUUUGAAUUCCGCAGUGUUCAAGAAGCUGAACUCAAGUGUUUUCACCAGCCUUUAGGUACCACAUUGCUCUACAACAUUUCCAUGUCUGUGCUCAGUUAUUCAGGUUUAAAGGCUUGCAGUUUUGGGUAAGACCCCAAAAAGAGCCUCUAAGCUGGUCAUAAAUUAUUUCUUGCUAUAUAACAUGGCAUCCAACAGUUUCAUGACUGCACACUGAUGAAUUCCCCAAAUUCCAGCAAUUACUGUUGUGUCAAUGUCCUGAAGUUUCCAAAGGUGAACUUGCUUCCACUGUGUGUCCAAGUCUGAAAUUCAUCUGUUCCAGGUUUGGAAGCCAGUCUGUGAGGAAUCCCCUCCCACUGAAAGCAGAGGGACUACUCUGGUGUUAAAAAACUGUGAUUUGAGUUAAAUUAGAUUUAAAAUAUGUUGUGAAGUGCUUGCAAAUCUUUCACUGAAGUUCAGCAAUUCUUUCACUAAAAAGAGUGAGAUGAGUAAAAUCAAGUAUUUGCAGGUUUAUUUUCUUGCAUCCCUCAAAUCUUGUGAAAGAAGUACCUCACUUCAUGUCAGAGUGAUAUCAGCAAAGUUUCUGACACUUACAGUCUAUUUCAAAGAGUAUAUAUAUCUUGAAAUGGGCCACAAUAUACAUGUAAUUUAUGUAUAGCCACAAAUGAUACAAUGGGAUUAUAUAUAUGAUUAGUUGUGCAGCUGAAUCUUUCUGCUGUGCCAUGCUCAGAUGAUAAAGUAAGAGGGAUUCAGAUUACUCAAUUUUUCUUUUAAGCAGCAUCUUUU